UCUGGGGCGCCCCGUCCACACGCCGCCCGGAUCGCCGCCACCGCGGCCACGCUCCAGCUGCCCACAUGGGCACGAGCGCGGGUCGGCUCCUGCGGUGCUGCCCCACGGAUGCAAUACCAGGCCGCCACCACCGCCACAUGGGGCCCUCGCCACCAAGCCGGCCCUCCUCCGCACGGGUCGCCGGCUGCCGCAUUUCAUCCCUGCAGCCACCGCUCGCUCUUGCGUUCCUGCCGGAUGCUUGACGUCACUGCCACACGAAGCAGUGAGGGUGUCCCUACAGCCGUCGUUCGGUCUUGCGCUCUUGCCUGACGCUUGAUGUCGCAGCCACACGAAGCAGCAAGGGUUCAGCGGCGGGGAAGUUGAAGAAGGAUGACAGAGUGGGGCGAUUGCCCAAUACGACCGCUGCUCCAAGCAGUCUCCUUCCUCUGCCGGGUUGAGCCGGUGAUGUAGAUCGAGCAGGUUGCAGGAGCUUGCUGCAUCUGAUCUUUCAUCUAGUUUUUCAUUCAUCUCAGGGAAAUUGCUCGUGUUUGCUUCCACGCGUCUGGGUAUAUAAAAUCUCCAUCCAUACACUGAGAUUGAAGCGAGGCCAUGAUAAUUGGCGUUGAAGCUUUGGGCUGUCACAGCUAAAUCUCCUUCCAGUAGUGAUUUGCGGUCAAUAACGACGCGUGCCAUACAUCAAAGGAUGUGAGAUUGGAAGAUGUUGUCAAAGAGUAUGCCCAACAGCCAUGGGUUUGCAUUUGUUCAAAGGAUGUGAGAUUGGAAGAUGUUGUCAAAGAGUAUGCCCAACAGCCAUGGGUUUGUAUUUGUUCAAAGGAUGUGAGAUUGGAAGAUGUUGUCAAAGAGUAUGCCCAACAGCCAUGGGUUUGCAUUUGUUGCUAGAGCCAUGGAUGACCCUGGAGCUUUUGAUUUGAAACAACAGUUGCCAUGUGAUGAUCAGUUACUGAACACAAUGCAAAGUUUCAUUACUAUAUUUGUAUGUGAGCUCUGAGAUAGAUGGAUGCACUGUUGUCAAUAAAUGCGAGGUAAGAUUUGUGAUUCAAGAUUCAGAGGAGUUCUGUCAAAUGCCACAACAUGCUUAUCAUCUCAUAGGAAAAAAAAAACCAGAUCAAAACCUUCUGAGCUUGGGAGCAAAGCUAAUCGAGUGGGUGGUAAGUGAAGUUUAUCUAGCGUCGCAAGGUUGGAGACCGGGCGUGCUCAGGCUGGACAACGGAAGCUAUAAAACUUCGGCGACUCGAGCUAGGGUCGUUAGAUUCUCUUUUUUCUUGCUGCUUUGCUUUCUUUCAUCGUUCUUAGCUAGUAGUCUACUCCCUCCGUUUCAAAUUACUCGUCGCUGAAAUGGAUGUAUCUAGAACGAGAAAACAUCUAUAUAUAUCCAUAUGUGCGACAAGUAAUUCGGAACGGAGGGAGUAGUUCUCUUUGGGACUAUGUCCCUCUCCUUGCCGCUUGUGGCAUUUGCGGUAUGAUGAUGUGAGUUAGACUCCUAUGUGUCUGAACAACGUAAAGACUGUAAGGAUGCUGGCUCUUUUGGUUUCGGUAAAGAAAUCGGAGGGA